rnacentral:rRNA from 1 species
AUACUCCUGACUGACCGAUAGUGAACCAGUACCGUGAGGGAAAGGCGAAAAGAACCCCGGCGAGGGGAGUGAAAAAGAACCUGAAACCGUGUACGUACAAGCAGUGGGAGCACCCUUUGGGGUGUGACUGCGUACCUUUUGUAUAAUGGGUCAGCGACUUAUAUUCUGUAGCAAGGUUAACCGAAUAGGGGAGCCGGAGGGAAACCGAGUCUUAAUUGGGCGUUAAGUUGCAGGGUAUAGACCCGAAACCCGGUGAUCUAGCCAUGGGCAGGUUGAAGGUUGGGUAACACUAACUGGAGGACCGAACCGACUAAUGUUGAAAAAUUAGCGGAUGACCUGUGGCUGGGGGUGAAAGGCCAAUCAAACCGGGAGAUAGCUGGUUCUCCCCGAAAGCUAUUUAGGUAGCGCCUCGUGAAUUCAUCUCCGGGGGUAGAGCACUGUUUCGGCUAGGGGGCCAUCCCGGCUUACCAACCCGAUGCAAACUGCGAAUACCGGAGAAUGUUAUCACGGGAGACACACGGCGGGUGCUAACGUCCGUCGUGAAGAGGGAAACAACCCAGACCGCCAGCUAAGGUCCCAAAGUCAUGGUUAAGUGGGAAACGAUGUGGGAAGGCCCAGACAGCCAGGAUGUUGGCUUAGAAGCAGCCAUCAUUUAAAGAAAGCGUAAUAGCUCACUGGUCGAGUCGGCCUGCGCGGAAGAUGUAACGGGGCUAAACCAUGCACCGAAGCUGCGGCAGCGAACGUAUCACUUAAAGCGAUUCAGCGGAUGACGAUUGACGGAGCGAAGCGACGUCAAAGCGUAUACAAAGUCGA